rnacentral:lncRNA from 9 species
AUGUGCAGCGGGUUUCUCACGGCCCCGGGGGUGGCGGGCAGUAAGUUUUGGCUGGGGCCGUUUUACACUGCCAGGCUUUCCUUUACUCAGCUACUGGCCAAGGAAGCGAGCGGCGCAGGGGGUCGCUCACUGGAAAGGGUCAGUGCAACCAGAGCAAACACUGCUGAUUUUGAACGCUCACCGCGAGCAGACUUCAAAGACAGGUCUCACAUCCUCCCGGUUCCGUCCGCGGAACUCGGCCACUCGCCCUGCCGGUCGCAGCGUGGAGCCAGGCAACCCACCUGCGCCCGGCAGUCAGCUCUCGCCUGCAGGAGUUUGCACACUUGGCGCUCAGGCCCACGCCCUCGGAGUUGGAUUGUGCGCACCGAGCCAAUGAGCUCGCCUGGGGAGAGAUCGGCUCUCCCCGCGCGCGCUGAUUGGUCCCACGACCGGCGAGGCCGAGCAGGCGGGCAGCAGCUGCGGGCUGCAGCGAGAGCCCGGCGCGAGUGGGAGUGGCGCGGGCGCCCCCCGCCGCCCUGUCCCUCCCCUCCGCGUUCCCUCCCUCUUUCCCUCCCUCCCUCUCUCCCUCCUCGCACUCCCCGGCUCUGGCCGCGCGCUGGCGGGGCUCCGCAUUGCACACUCUGGGGGCGCCGCAGUGUUCGUGGGAUGGGGCAGCGGGCUGCCGCUGGCGGCCGGAAUCCGCGUGCAGCCCGGAAUCAAUAGUCCUGAAGAAGAGAGCCUAUUGCCCCAGCCUGGGACAGAUGUCGACUUGGACCAAUCAGCUGUGGCUGCGGGUGAGAGUCCUCUUUCGUCGUCCUAAGUCCCCACUCCUGGGCCCCCUGGAUGAGUGACUCCUGGCUCUGCCAUGGAGGCUGGCCCUGCCCUGGCCUGGCUCCUGCUCCUGAGUCUGCUGGCUGAUUGUCUGAAAGCUGCCCAGUCCCGAGACUUCACCGUGAAAGACAUUAUCUACCUCCACCCUUCAACCACACCAUAUCCUGGUGGAUUUAAGUGUUUCACCUGCGAAAAGGCAGCAGACAAUUAUGAGUGCAACCGAUGGGCACCAGAUAUCUACUGUCCUCGAGAGACUAGAUACUGCUACACUCAGCACACAAUGGAAGUCACAGGAAACAGCAUCUCUGUCACCAAGCGCUGCGUUCCACUGGAAGACUGCUUGUCCACUGGCUGCAGGGACUCCGAGCAUGAAGGCCACAAGGUCUGCACUUCCUGUUGUGAAGGAAAUAUCUGUAAUUUGCCACUCCCCCGGAAUGAAACUGAAGCCACAUUUGCCACAACAUCACCCAUAAAUCAGACAAACGGGCACCCACACUGCAUGUCAGUGAUAGUGUCCUGCUUGUGGGUGUGGUUGGGACUCACAUUAUAGUUGCUCACAGGCACCAUGGGUAGUGGCAUCCACCAGGAUUUCCAUGGUCCCUGGUCAUGCAUGAGUCAUUGGCCUGACCGUAGUUACACAUGUAAAACCAUAGCACUCACGUCUUCAUAGCCAAGCACUUCCACUUACCGUGAGGAACAAACAUUGCUUCCAUGUAGUCAUUUCAAGUCCAAGACCUCAUCAAAGCAGCCUGCCUCCAGCACAGCCCCUGAGUUCUCCAUAAACCUUUGUCUUUCCUCCAAGAAAUAGUUCUGCAUUUACUAAGAUGUAGGGCUCUAAUUUAGAAUACAUGCACAAGCCACGGGAGGCUCUGAGACUCUCGGGGAUGUCAGACUAGAUGGUAUGUGGACACAUAUAGAUCUCUGUUCUUCAGGAGAAAGGUAUGGGACCACUGGGUUAGGUCCAAUCAUGAAUUCAUUUAUAGCUUUAGAGUUUUAAAACUUUGAUUCCCAAAUGAGUGGACUCUACCUGGAGCUUCUGAUCGAGUCCUUAGAAAAAUGGCAAGCAGUUUGUCCAAUUUAAUUGUCCUAAUCUUCUCGCAGUGAUGGGAACCACAUUCCCUCCUCUUGUGUGAAACAUAAAGUAGGCAAUCAUAAAAGUUUAUUGUAUGGGAGGAGGGACGGCUGGAGAAAAUUUUCCCAACUUAAUGGAAAUAGCAUCCAUAAGGUGGCCGUUUAUCCCUUCGUGUAAUUGGCAAAAUUGGCCUUGAUUUGGCGCGUAAUUGUGCUCCAUGAAUUCCUGGAUUAUACCUGGACCAAUAGGUGACCAAAGAGUCUGAAAGCAGAGUGGGGUUAUUUCCUCCAAUCAUGGGGUACUAUUCAGGCGUAGCUAAUAGAGACAGAGAGAGGAUUUCAAGACAAAAGGAAGAUGUGUGGAGUUGAUCCUAGUUUGUUGUGAGGACCCAGUAAGUGUCUCCACCAAAUCUUUCAUCUGCAAUUUAUGCUGCCAAAGGGCCCUCCCCAUUCUUCCUCUUCCAAGUCCCCAACGACUUCAGGGAGAAGGUUCUGUAUUACGUUAUGUCAAGAUUGAUAAGGAAAGAAGACCUAAUAUCCAGAAUGAGCAGUAGGUGGAACAGUGGGGUGAUGAUGAGACUAGUAAAGAGACCCAGUGAGAAGUUUUUAUUUCUUUUAGAUGAUCACUUUUGAAAUAUAUGGUAAAACUUUCACCAUCCUUCCUAUAUAUUUGGCACCUCAAGUUACACAUUUUUCUUCUUCCUUAUAAAUCAUUUAUACAAUAUUUAUUUUUGUAUGGCAUAACUAUAAACUAAAAUAUAUUGAAAAGAUUCUUUAUUCUGAGCAAACGAUCAAAUUAGAAUACAUAUUUUUCAACAGUGGUAGAGCGUGUAAUAUAUGUUUAUGGAACGUUAUCUAUAAUACUUGCACCAGUGUUGAAAAAAAGUUAACGUUGUGAGCAAGAGUAAGUAAUAUGUUGGCCUCAAGGAUUUUGCUCAUGGUCUCCUCAGUGGUGUUGUCCCAGAAGUAUUUGGGGCUGGGGUGACAUCACUAGUUUCUCUGCAGGGUUAGGGGGCACAUUUGCAUGAACUUUGGUGCAGUCUUUGCUGGUCAGGAGGAUAGUUUUGUCAUGGUCCAUCUGACCACCAGCACAGGAAAAGGUCUCGGGGUCAGAAAAUGAGCCCCUCUCAGGGACCAAACAUGAACUGACAGCAGUGACUCUGCAUUGCAUCAAAUGGCCUUAAUUCAGAGUUGGGUAGGCUUAGCCAUAUGUUGCUUACCCUUGGGGUGGGGGAAGUAGAGGGGGAGAAAGCAAGACAUUUAUUAAGCACGUCUUAUGUGCCAGACACUACGCUAAGCACUUUACAUGAUUUGGGUCGUGUGGUCCCUGCAAGAACCCUGUAAGGAGUGUUACUGGUAUUUACACUGUACACAUGAAGGUACUGAGCUCUAAGAAGCUCGACAACAUGAAGCCUUUCCUUCAGUUUAGGUUAGAUGGGGGGAGGUGGGGUUGAAGAGGAAGGGAAUGUGGAAUUGCCACCCGUGCGAAAAAUUCCAGGCAUCAUGAGCACUUGUCCAUCUUGUGGAGUUUGUCUAGCCCUGCUUCUACAGGAUGUCACUUGUGUGUCCCCAGAUGAUGUUUUGUUUUGUUUUUUUUUCUUUAGGGGGAGGGGGUGGAGGCAUGGCUUCCUCAUUCAUUCCUCUUGUUGUCAAAGAGGAGACAGGUUGGUCCAACAUCUGAAGAUGGUAGAAGACAAUGACAAUUUGAUGUUGUAUAUACCCACAACUACAUUUUUCUGCAUGGGUCACUCUCCACGGACACUUUCUAAAUACUGCAUGUGAUUAGAAUAAGACAGAAAGUCCAAAUCUUGGUUCUUGGAGAAAGCACCACUCCAAAGCCUCCCUGGCUGGUGUGCAGGGACCAGGUCCACAGCGGGGAGGACUCAUCCGCCACCCACAGGGUACCUGCAAACUCGACCCAGAUGUGGCUGUGUGUGCCCCAUAUGCCUGUCAGAAUGGCUGGCAUUUCAUUCUCUUCAAAGAAAGUCGUUUUCUCACCAUCCCCAGCCUCAAGGAGCCAAGGAAUGGCCAUUCAUGUGGAAGGCCCAGGACUGGUCAUCCAUCUGACUUUUCUACCACAUCAAACCCUCCAUUAAAUCCUACCGUAGGUGACGGCUUGAAGUGCAAAGAGCCACAUGUGUAUAUUAACCUAUGUGCCCCUUAUUUAUUUUUAGACUCCCCACAGCAUUCAUGUCAAUAUGGGAUUAAUGCCUAAAUUUUGUAAAUACUGUACAUUUUGUAAAUCAACGAAUAAAGGUUUUAAGUG